rnacentral:rRNA from 1 species
GACGAACGCUGGCGGCGUGCUUAACACAUGCAAGUCGAACGGUGAACGAGGGAGCUUGCUCCCUCCGGAUCAGUGGCGAACGGGUGAGUAACACGUGAGCAAUCUGCCCCGAACUCUGGGAUAAGCGUUGGAAACGACGUCUAAUACCGGAUACGACGCGGGAGGGCAUCCUCUCCGCGUGGAAAGAACUUCGGUUCGGGAUGAGCUCGCGGCCUAUCAGCUUGUUGGUGAGGUAACGGCUCACCAAGGCGACGACGGGUAGCCGGCCUGAGAGGGUGACCGGCCACACUGGGACUGAGACACGGCCCAGACUCCUACGGGAGGCAGCAGUGGGGAAUACUGCACAAUGGGCGAAAGCCUGAUGCAGCAACGCCGCGUGAGGGACGACGGCCUUCGGGUUGUAAACCUCUUUUAGCAGGGAGGAAGCGAAAGUGACGGUACCUGCAGAAAAAGCACCGGCUAACUACGUG